CCUACGGGUGGCUGCAGUGGGGAAUAUUGGGCAAUGGAGGAAACUCUGACCCAGCAACGCCGCGUGAAGGAUGAAGGUUUUCGGAUUGUACACUUCUGUCGCGAGGGAUGAAGAAUGACGGUACCUCGUAAGAAAGCCCCGGCAAACUACGUGCCAGCAGCCGCGGUAAUACGUAGGGGGCGAGCGUUGUCCGGAAUGACUGGGUGUAAAGGGAGCGCAGGCGGCGUGGCAAGUCAGAUGUGAAAACCCGGGGCCCAACCCCGGGAGUGCAUGUGAAACUGCCAUGCUGGAGUGCCGGAGAGGUAAGCGGAAUUCCUAGUGUAGCGGUGAAAUGCGUAGAUAUUAGGAGGAACACCAGUGGCGGAGGCGGCUUACUGGACGGUAACUGACGCUGAGGCUCGAAAGCGUGGGGAGCAAACAGGAUUAGAUACCCGUGUAGUC
rnacentral:rRNA from 1 species